rnacentral:rRNA from 1 species
GGAUGCGAUCAUACCAGCACUAAAGCACCGGAUCCCAUCAGAACUCCGAAGUUCAGCGUGCUUGGGCGAGAGUAGUACUAGGAUGGGUGACCUCCUGGGAAGUCCUCAUGUUGCAUUCC